UCCCUGGUGGUCCAGUGGUUCAAGACGCCACACUCCCAAUGCAAGGGGCCGGGUUCAAUCCCUGGUCAGGGAA
rnacentral:tRNA from 1 species